GCUUUUAUCUAAAUUGGGAAUAAGAAAUAGAGAAUAUAAUCAUUCCCUGAUAUGUUUAAGAAUUCUAAUCUUUAAGUGACACAUAUCUGCUAAAUUAUGACUUUGUACUUGAUUAUUUUACUUUGUAAUUGAUGGCAUCUUAUUUGCUUAAAACAUUAUUCUGCUUGGUGAUUGUUAUGUAUCCCAAUGGCUAUUUGUGCAUUAUCUCUUACAAAAAGAGUGUAAUUAGCCAACUGCUUUUCCUUUCAGUCGACAUCUUGGGAUGCUAAUUGGGGAUUUUAGAAGAAAGAAAGAAAGAAAGAAGGUCGAUCAGUCUUGCAAAUAUGCAUAUUGGUCAGUCAGAUAGUUGCAAAUGCAUCAAACUUUAGCAUUUAUGUGGUAUUUUUAUAUCAUAAGCGUGGAUCUUAGACUUGAGUCCCUCAUGCCUUAUUUUUGCUACAUAGUGCAACACCUACAGGAGCAACUAUGUGGCUAUUAUUUUGUAUGCUCAGGUAACAGCUAUGUUUUUUUAUGUCAUUCUGAUGUUAAAUAUUUCCUUCUUUUGGCUGUUCCUAAAUAUCAGAUUUAUAUUUACAACUUACUUAAUAGUUCCUUUUGCUAAUAUGUACCUUGCAGUAUGUAUAAAUAUGUGUUGAUUAAGAGUUAUACUGCUUUAAAUUUAUUUGGCUGGUCAAAAUGGAAUUUUAACUAAUAGAUCGAUAUGUUUGAGGGGGAAGGAGCGGAAACAAUUCCAGGCUAUAGAAACUCAACACGAGGUGAUUGUUUAUGCAACUUAUUAUUGUAGUGCCCUGCUCCUCUUUGCAAAGUGCAGGCAAACAAAUACAUAGAAG
rnacentral:lncRNA from 1 species